CAGUAGCCGCGGUAAUACGUAGGGUGCGAGCGUUAAUCGGAAUUACUGGGCGUAAAGCGGGCGCAGACGGUUACUUAAGCAGGAUGUGAAAUCCCCGGGCUCAACCUGGGAACUGCGUUCUGAACUGGGUGACUAGAGUGUGUCAGAGGGAGGUAGAAUUCCACGUGUAGCAGUGAAAUGCGUAGAUAUGUGGAGGAAUACCGAUGGCGAAGUCAGCCCCCUGGGAUAACACUGACGCUCAUGCACGAAAGCGUGGGGAGCAAACAGGAUUAGAUACCCCGGUAGUCCCUGUCUCUUAUAC
rnacentral:rRNA from 1 species